rnacentral:tRNA from 1 species
GGUCUUUUAGUGGAAUGUUAGAAUAGGUAACUUGUCAUUACUGGGCACUAGUUCGAUUCUAGUAGUCGGCA